AGAGUUUGAUCCUGGCUCAGGACGAACGCUGGCGGCAGGCUUAACACAUGCAAGUCGAACGAAGGCUUCGGCCUUAGUGGCGCACGGGUGAGUAACACGUGGGAAUAUACCUCUCGGUGGGGAAUAACGUUGGGAAACUGACGCUAAUACCGCAUACGCCCUUAGGGGGAAAGAUUUAUCGCCGAGAGAUUAGCCCGCGUCCGAUUAGCUAGUUGGUGAGGUAAAAGCUCACCAAGGCGACGAUCGGUAGCUGGUCUGAGAGGAUGAUCAGCCACACUGGGACUGAGACACGGCCCAGACUCCUGCGGGAGGCAGCAGUGGGGAAUUUUGGACAAUGGGCGAAAGCCUGAUCCAGCAAUGCCGCGUGCAGGAUGAAGGCCUUCGGGUUGUAAACUGCUUUUGUACGGAACGAAAAGCUUUGGGUUAAUACCCUGGAGUCAUGACGGUACCGUAAGAAUAAGCACCGGCUAACUACGUGCCAGCAGCCGCGGUAAU
rnacentral:rRNA from 1 species